UCUUUGCAGCCUUGUGAAGCAGCUCCUCGCAGCAGCUACUGCUUGUGGGCUCAACAAGGAUGCAGAAAGUAUUUCAAAGAAUGAAAAGGCGUGACUCCUCGAGGCUCAGGAGUUUCACGUGCGAUGUUCCUUGGACACAGUCCUGCUUUCCACGGUGGUGAUGGGCUCCUCCUGUAGUCAUCACCUUUCUUGAAGCAGGUAGAGUAAAUAAUGACAGCACGAUAUGGUUUGAAGCAGGGAGAGCUAUUCCUGUCAGACACUGUCAGCUGUCACACAA